rnacentral:rRNA from 1 species
AAACUUUCAACAACGGAUCUCUUGGUUCUGGCAUCGAUGAAGAACGCAGCGAAAUGCGAUAAGUAAUGUGAAUUGCAGAAUUCAGUGAAUCAUCGAAUCUUUGAACGCACAUUGCGCCCUCUGGUAUUCCGGGGGGCAUGCCUGUUCGAGCGUCANU